rnacentral:rRNA from 1 species
UCAGUGUGUGUGUUAGUGGAAGCGUCUGGAAAGGCGCGCGAUACAGGGUGACAGCCCCGUACACAAAAAUGCACAUGCUGUGAGCUCGAUGAGUAGGGCGGGACACGUGGUAUCCUGUCUGAAUAUGGGGGGACCAUCCUCCAAGGCUAAAUACUCCUGACUGACCGAUAGUGAACCAGUACCGUGAGGGAAAGGCGAAAAGAACCCCGGCGAGGGGAGUGAAAAAGAACCUGAAACCGUGUACGUACAAGCAGUGGGAGCACGCUUAGGCGUGUGACUGCGUACCUUUUGUAUAAUGGGUCAGCGACUUAUAUUCUGUAGCAAGGUUAACCGAAUAGGGGAGCCGAAGGGAAACCGAGUCUUAACUGGGCGUUAAGUUGCAGGGUAUAGACCCGAAACCCGGUGAUCUAGCCAUGGGCAGGUUGAAGGUUGGGUAACACUAACUGGAGGACCGAACCGACUAAUGUUGAAAAAUUAGCGGAUGACUUGUGGCUGGGGGUGAAAGGCCAAUCAAACCGGGAGAUAGCUGGUUCUCCCCGAAAGCUAUUUAGGUAGCGCCUCGUGAAUUCAUCUCCGGGGGUAGAGCACUGUUUCGGCAAGGGGGUCAUCCCGACUUACCAACCCGAUGCAAACUGCGAAUACCGGAGAAUGUUAUCACGGG